UGUAUGUAUGUGUCCGAGUGUAUUAUGUAUUGUUUAUGUAUAUGUAUUACCCGCGUGUUUUUCAUUAAUUAUAUAUUUUGGCUUUGUCUGUUCUCUUAAAUUUGUUUUUUUUCCUUUCAUUUUUUUUAACGCUAAUGGCAGCACAGAUACAAUAUUAUUCUUCUUUUUUUUUUCAUCUUCUUUGUUUUACACUGUAGCAUUUUAACGUGUCCGAGUCUUUUCUUCUUAAAUAGAAAUAACAUGUUAUGAAUCACUUUGUAAAGCGCGUUUAAGCGGUUCCUUCCUUUGCACAAUGGAACCGUUAAAAUCGCCGCCAUUCGGGAUGGUAAUUACGCAAUUAAUACGCUAUGUAUACAUUUAUACAGUACGCAAUGAAUACGCCAGAAUUAAUUAUUGUAUGCACUACGAAGGAAAGAACCUAUAUUUAUGUAUAUUAUGUAUACGUGUGUACUUCGAGAAGAAACGAAUUGCUAUGCAGCGCAUUAUUAUAGUACGUUUAAUAUAACUAGCGUGGCUCCUUCCUCUUUCUCUUUUCUUGUCCCUUUCCUUUUAUUUAUUUUUUAUUCUAUUCUUCUUUUCGAAUUUAUUUCACUAUUCGGCGAACUGAUCGUGUUUCGUCGUCUUUUUACCAUCUCGCGAGAAAAUAUAAUCAUCGCAAAACGAUGAUUAUCACAUGACAUUUUAAACGCAAAAAAGGAACAAUUUUCGAACACGAUGCAGCGAUCAGAAACGCAUCGUACAGCAUCCUUCUCGACGCCACGCAUUUUUAAUACGAUUCGUUCUCUAAACGCAUCGACGAAUCAGAUUUGCGUAUUGAUCUCGAGAAUUUUUAAUCGAAAAAGGAUCUAUGUUUCCUAUACAAAGAGUAUUAUCUUAUAUCAGUGUGUGCAGCUAGAGCGAUCAUAAACAAUAAAUGCAACAGCCUUUGUCUCGUUAAAGUAUUAAUAAUAAUUUAUCAACUAUCAGUUAUUGGCUACAACAAUCGGUAUUCUUAAAUAGUAUACGCAGCUAAGAAAAAAUAAUUAAUAGUCGAAAUAAGAGAAAUAGAGAGAGAGAAAGCUCGUACAUCUAAAAUAAUGAAAGUAUUUUAGGGGACAGUUCAUAUAGGUACAUGCCGGAUAUACAUAAACAUCAGCGACGUAGAACCGCCUCUAUGGUGCUUGCAAGAGGUUCUCAACACGAGACGACAUCGAGAAACCGCGAGGGAAAUGAACGGGCAAACGAAAAAAUUCGGAUCCGAAGUCGUUUGGGAGGAAGUCCCGAGUUACUACAAAAAAUUCUUCUUUUUUUUUAACAAAACGCUUCACUUUUGUCCUUUAUCUUUCUAUCUUCUUCUUUCUGUUUUCCCCUUCUUUUGGCAUACACGAUAUAAUUACGAUCACGCGCAUUACACAACUGUGCUGUUAGAUACAUAGUUUGCCUCGUAUAAUUUAGAAUUAUAGCUAUCAUACAUUAUUAAAAAUAUGUACAAAAUCUGUGUGUAUGUGUAUGCGUGUAUCCAUGUAAGUAGUAUCUCUGUUGUAAAUAUGCAUGGAAAAUGUUCUCGGCAGUUAACGUGCACAUUACUUUGAGUAUAUCGAACAUCGCAAAGUAACACGCGUGCUAAGUGCCUCGUGAAUAAAAAUGCUCGUGUUCUAUGAUUCUCUGUGUCGAUGUUUUUCCCGUGUAAAUGUUCACGUGACACGUUUCGAAGCACUGUUUUUAGUCGGUAUAUAACAUAUAGACCGAUGGAUGAAUCGGAUGUGUAUUGAAAUCGAAAUACAAAAUGCACUUUCAAUCGAGGCUUCCUCCGUUCACCAGAGAAACGUCUCUGAAUCUCCUUUGCAAUAAUAUCAAAAAUCUAAAACGAUCGAGUAUCGCGGCCAGGAAAGCGGCAAGAGACCGACAAACGUGUGUACAGAGAGCAUAUAUGCGUUUUACAAUAUGUAUACAGUACUCGAAAAUCCUCGACGAGCCGCGAGUUCGUCGAUUCCACGGUUUAAAUACCAGUCAAUGGAAAAAUGUUUUCGCUACUGAAAAAACAUACCCCAUAAGUCGUAUAAUAAGUACGUGCAGCCGUCGAUAACGUGGAUUAGUUGCUUCUUUUUUUUUUUUUCUUCUUCUCUCCUCCAUUUCUUAAAUCUUAGUACCCCAUUCUUAAAUGGCUAUUCAAUGAACCAUAAAUAUAACCCUAAUUAAUAUUGCACGCGCCGGCACACGGGGAUCGCUAAAUGUCGUUUUACCUCAGAUAGCGGCCCCCUUUUAUUAUUAUUAUUAUUUUUUUUUUUUUAUUUCAUGUAUGAACUUAAUUAUGCGUAUUAUGCAUUUGGCGAACGAAUCAUCUUCCAGACCCUAAAGGGAUCUGCUAUAUUUUUCACUACAACGCGACGAUACGUUCACGCGAUUCAUUCUUCUUGUUCGCGGAAAACAGAAAGGAACGGUGUAACAAAGGUGUCCUUCUCGUCGAGCCCCGACGACUCACCGAACGAACUUUUUUUUAAAUACUCUCGUCUCAUCCUUGGAACGAGACCGAUUCUACACCUAACAACUCUCACAAUGCACUUGAAUCGUAUCGUUCGUUACGUUCCAUCUUCCUUUCCAUUCGACUUGUUUCGACUUUUCGAUCUGACCAGUGAUCUUUGAUCAGUGACACGCAAACCGCACAGUUCUUGCAACUUUUCUUUCCUUCUCUUUUUUUUUUUUUAUUCGGUAUUAAUAUCAACUAUACUUAAAGAUCUAAGCUCGUGUUAUUAUCGUUAAAUCGGAUUUAAUCGAAUAUCGAAUACGGUUCGACCCGUCAACGUGGCUGAAAAAGAUUUCAGUAUCGCCGAGCCGAAAGUAUCCUCGUUUAUUUGAAGAAGGUUCGCUCACACACGAGGGUUGCCAUGAUUUUUCUCGAUAUUCUUCGUUUUGAGUCCUUCCAAUGCCGUGAUGCGCACAUUAUUUUAUACUACGCGAAGUUGAGUUCCGUCAAAUAUCCUUUUAAUCCCUUGCCUCGAUUUUUUGCGUGUAUCCUCGGUUUAACUUUCUUUUUUUUCCCCCCCUUUUUCGUUUCACAGAAAAAAAUCGUUGACUCUUCGAUUACUACCUCGUAAUUUCCUCUUACCUUUCGGUACGUGUUCGAAACUUUCUGUUAUAGUAGUAGUAAUAGUCUUCGUUUUCGUAGGCCAACGAUGUAGAAUUGCGCCAGCGUGGAUAAUCGUCGUUAACUUCUCUCUCUCUCUCUCCCUUUUUCUCUCUCCAUCGCAACGUUCCCUCUUUCUUCGUCUCGGUUCGCUCUCGUGAAUCUCGUGAAUCUCUCGUACGAUUCGCAGUGCGCUACUCCAUCACGCGUCGACGAUAAGUGAAGCA